UCUUCAUUUCACACGCUCUCUCACCGGUCAGAGAGGCGAGAGAGCACGCGAAAUGAGGAGA
rnacentral:pre_miRNA from 1 species